UGCAGUCGAACGAGGGCCCGGAGCUUGCUUCGGUGACCCGAGUGGCGGACGGGUGAGUAACACGUGACCAACCUACCUUCGGGAGGGGGACAACCUGGGGAAACCCGGGCUAAUACCGCAUAUCGUCCACGGGCCGCAUGGCCUAUGGAUAAAAGGGAGCCUCUGCUUGCAAGCUCUCACCCGAAGAGGGGGUCGCGGCGUAUCAGCUAGUUGGUGGGGUAAUGGCCUACCAAGGCAUCGACGCGUAGCGGGUCUGAGAGGACGACCCGUCACAUUGGGACUGAGAUACGGCCCAGACUCCUACGGGAGGCAGCAGUGGGGAAUAUUGCGCAAUGGCCGAAAGGUUGACGCAGCGACGCCGUGUGUGGGAGGACGCCCUUCGGGGUGUAAACCACUGUCAGGGGGGAAGAACUUCGUAGGUGUGAAUAGCACUUGCGGUUGACGGUACCCCCAGAGGAAGCGCCGGCUAACUCAGUGCCAGCAGCCGCGGUAAUACUGAGGGCGCAAGCGUUGUUCGGAAUUACUGGGCGUAAAGGGCAGGUAGGUGGUCUGUUAAGUCUUCUGUGAAAAUCCGGGGCUCAACCCCGCGAAAUGCAGGUGAAACUGGCAGACUUGAGAUCGGUAGAGGCUAGCGGAAUUCCUGGUGUAGCGGUGGAAUGCGUAGAUAUCAGGAAGAACACCUGUGGCGAAGGCGGCUAGCUGGGCCGAUUCUGACACUGAACUGCGAAAGCGUGGGGAGCAAACAGGAUUAGAUACCCUGGUAGUCCACGCCGUAAACGAUGGGCACUAGAUGCCGGGCAUAUAGACGUGUUCGGUGUCGUCGCUAACGCAUUAAGUGCCCCG
rnacentral:rRNA from 1 species